GGGGGGGGCAAGCGUUGUUCGGAAUUACUGGGCGUAAAGGGCCAGUAGGCGGCCAACUAAGUCCGACGUGAAAUCCCCAGGCUCAACUUGGGAACUGCGUCGGAUACUGGAUGGCUUGAAUUCGGGAGAGGGAUGCAGAAUUCCAGGUGUAGCGGUGAAAUGCGUAGAUAUCUGGAGGAAUACCGGUGGCGAAGGCGGCAUCCUGGACCGACAUUGACGCUGAACGGCGAAAGCUAGGGGAGCAAACGGGAUUAGAUACCCCGGUAGUCCUAGCCCUAAACGAUGAAUGCUUGGUGUAACGGGUAUCGAUCCCUGUUGUGCCGAAGCUAACGCAUUAAGCAUUCCGCCUGGGGAGUACGGUCGCAAGGCUGAA
rnacentral:rRNA from 1 species